UACAGAGGGUGCAAGCGUUAAUCGGAAUUACUGGGCGUAAAGCGUGCGUAGACGGUAGCGUAAGUCGGGUGUGAAGCCCCGGGCCUCAACCUGGGGAAUUGCAUUCGAGACUGCUCUGCUAGGGUGCGGAAGAGGGAAGCGGAAUUUCCGGUGUAGCGGUGAAAUGCGUAGAUAUCGGGGAGGAACACCUAUGGCGAAAGCAGGCUUCUGGGGCGUAUCACUUGACGCUGGAUCUGCGAAAGCUUAGGGGAGCAAACAGG
rnacentral:rRNA from 1 species